UGUGUCACGGGAUAGUCAGGAAACACAGCUGUUGCUUCUAUGAAUACCAAGUGAUGUUCGUGCCUUUGCUGCUCUGAAAUCUGUAGACUGAUUCAGGGAGAGACGCCGAGACAUAGAGCGUGCGGAGCAGAAAGCCGGAGGAAACCACUUGCCCGACCCAGAUAUAGCCCGGAAUCGUAACACCCAGCUGACUUUGGAGGUCCAAAAGGAGAUGGCGAGAUUACGAACCCUAUGGCCAUCCCCACUGCUCCCUCAGCUACACCAGAUGCGCGACGAUUACCUCAGUUCCUGAUCUCAGUGCGAGUAACAUUCAUUAUGAUCUGAAUAUCUUAUUCUGAUAUGAUUAUUGUGAGGUGAAACGAGAGUUUUGAAAUCCUCAUUAAUUUAAUUUCCAGGUAGGGUUUCGAAUGUUAUCUCAAUUUUUUUUUCAAUAAAUUCAGUUUAUA